rnacentral:misc_RNA from 1 species
UCCCGGCGUCGUCGUGCAGGAUUUCUUCGGCGGCAACGAUCAGCCGCGCGUCCAGAUUCGCGGAUCGGGCCUUCAACAGAACCCCGUCGAACGCGGCAUCCUGGUUCUUCAGAACGGCCUUCCCAUCAACCGUNNNNNNCGUCGGCUUCGCCAAUCCACAGCAGGCUGAUUCGAUCGAAGUCUAUCGUGGCUACAUGGCCAACCGGCUCGGCGCGACCGUGCUCGGUGGCGCCAUCAACUUCGCCUCGCC